UGAAUAUUCCGUUUCUGAUCUGGCGGAGAAUGGCAAAAGAUAUCAAGACUUCCGGACAAAAUGAGAGGUUACCAUUUCCUUUGAUAAUUAUGAGGAUUUUGCGACUUCGUGAGGUGGAUGUUCGGUGUACAUCAUACGAGCACAGUUUGGGUCGGAUUAAUGAAAGGACGUUUGUAAAAUCCUCGGUGCAGCUUCGUACGCCGUCUCAACGUGCUUCUUCCCCUCCUGCAGCUCCACCUCCUACUACUGCUACUUCUUCCCGUCCUUCUAUGGACAUUUCUGAGGAAGAUAUUUCCGUUUCAUC
rnacentral:lncRNA from 1 species